AUUGAACGCUGGCGGCAGGCCUAACACAUGCAAGUCGAACGGUAGCACAGAGAGCUUGCUCUCGGGUGACGAGUGGCGGACGGGUGAGUAAUGUCUGGGAAACUGCCCGAUGGAGGGGGAUAACUACUGGAAACGGUAGCUAAUACCGCAUAACGUCUUCGGACCAAAGUGGGGGACCUUCGGGCCUCACACCAUCGGAUGUGCCCAGAUGGGAUUAGCUAGUAGGUGGGGUAAUGGCUCACCUAGGCGACGAUCCCUAGCUGGUCUGAGAGGAUGACCAGCCACACUGGAACUGAGACACGGUCCAGACUCCUACGGGAGGCAGCAGUGGGGAAUAUUGCACAAUGGGCGCAAGCCUGAUGCAGCCAUGCCGCGUGUAUGAAGAAGGCCUUCGGGUUGUAAAGUACUUUCAGCGGGGAGGAAGGCGAUGUGAUUAAUAACCGCAUCGAUUGACGUUACCCGCAGAAGAAGCACCGGCUAACUCCGUGCCAGCAGCCGCGGUAA
rnacentral:rRNA from 1 species